UCAGACUGCAGCUCUCACCACUCUUGGAUAUCACAUGAGAGCAUUCAGCAAAAAGGUGCUUGGGAACAGAACGAGAGCAGGAAAAAUGGACUUGUCCCUGCACAUUCAGUGAUAAUUUGAGUGUUAGGUGGUGAUAAGGGCUACAGUCAUCUUCAGGAGUACUGAAUGUCUGUACACCAGUUUCUAGGAGAAUGAAGUUACAUUUUUGCUAAAGGAAUCUGAUUAAAGAAUUCUGCCAACUGCAGUAAUACAACCAUUACAAGGAUUUCUUAUCAGUCUGGAAAAUGAACUCAUAAGCAUUAUAAUAGUGAACAUGACUGGAAAAUUUCCAAUUAAAAAUAUUAAUUAAUGGCAUAGCAUAAGUCACAGUUGAGACAGCCACAAUACACAAAGUUCCAUCAUACAAAUUCAGAAAGCUUCAACCCAUACAGAUAACACCACACCACUUCAGAAGGCUUCAAGAGUCUGCCCUUCUUGUUCUUUAGCCCCGCCUUUUAUACCCCUCAUGGUUCAUGCAUGGUACCUGUGUGCCCUCUGUUCCCUUUGGUGUUUGGUCAGUGCUCCUGGGCACUCCAUGGCUCAUUGCUGUCAGUGCUGCUCACCUGCCCUGCACAGCUGUGGCCCACUGGGGAUGAGGGUCGGCCAUAGCCUCACUUCCAAUUACUACAAACUGUGUGCCUACAGAUUUAUUCAAGACAACAAGUAAGACCAUCAAGAGAAUUGUUUUGAACUCUGGUUAAUGACAUUUUACUUUUCCCAGGUUUGUGUGCAAAAUCAAAAUGCUAAAUCAUUAAUGUAAAAUGGAAUCUUGGAAAAUGUCCAUUUUAAAUUAAAAAUUCAGUGUUGAAACUUUAUUUUUCUAUUUCUUUCUGUCUCAUUCAAUUUAAUAAUUUAAAUAUCAAAUUAAAUAACUCAAGUGUUAUGAAAAAAUCUAGUUGAUCAAAACUAGCCCUUUUCUGAAUAUAGUUUCAAUUCAUAAUAUUAUUUCCAGCUAUACAUUUCAAAUGAAUCAAUCAGAUAUUUUUACUGCAUACUGAAUGUGUCAUUUUUGAGGACAUGAUGCUUACAAUGAAUAUGUCACUUUUCCUUAAGGUUAAAAAAAUCAGCAGUCCUGUUAAAUUUUUUAAUUUGAAAGUUAGAUAUGACCACAUUUUUGAGGAAGAAAGUCCUUAAUUCCUGAAAUAAAGGUUUUUUUGAAGAAGAUUUUAAAACACGUAAUAUGUUUUAAGAUGUCCAACCACAAUUAAUUCCAGGAUACUUAACAAUUUUUUUGUACGUUAGAUAUGAAUUUAGUAACAUAACAGUAUUAUAUAGAUAACACAGAAUUGUGUUUUGGUACUCUGUUACAGAUUGCUAUAUUGUAUUAUUGUACUUCUGAAACACUCUAGUUUCUUUUCAAUUCUUUGGCCAAUACUGAACAUUUUUCUUCCUCUUCCUUGAUGCAUUUAGGAUUACAAAAUCUAGUCAGAGAGAUCAAAGAGUUCAUUCUAAAGGUUAAACACAUUAUUAUUUAAACAAUGACCACGAGGUCUAAUAAAAGAAGGAGACUGAUCCAGCAAAUAGUCUGGCAAAGUAUCAAAUAUUCUCAAUCCAAGAAUAACAAAACAAAAUAACAAAACACCCAAAAGCAACCUAUCCAACAAACAGAAGCAGCAUACAAGUCUAAAUGUUACUGUAAGUUUAAGCAGUAUCUGGAAAGGAUAAUGGAAAGAAGCAAUUUCAUUGAAAACUUGGGUCAAACAAUUCAAGAAAAAGUCUUAUGCCAAGUCCUCAUCUAGUGGAUGUUAUGGUUGUGUUUCCUUCAUGAAAAUUUGGGAAGGAUUUUCAUACGGGUAUCACAGUGAAUUUCACUGAGUGAGGAUUUGUCUGCUGAACAGGGCAAAUACAUGUGUUUUGAGAAAAUUCAUUGACUCGACUUGAUCAAUCUUAUUCCAGGACUUGUAGUUUUAUGUCUCUUUGUUUCAGCUGUAAAGCGAAGGCUCAUGCAAUGUGAACUACCUGUUAUCAAUCAAGGAAUUCACUUCUUCAGUGACUGCGCUUCUUUGAAGUGCUGGGAGAAACAGAAAUAUUUAUCAUGUUCUCAAGGUGGUUUCUGAACCUUUCAAUCUUAUAUCUAGAUUACAGCCAAUACCCCUUUCGUCAGCCAUUUCGUAGAUUGUGAAAUCAGCAGUUUGAAAAGACAUUCUCAGCACAGGAAGCACAGAGGAAGUAGGACACAUAAUCAAUCUUCAGGCUCCCAUGGACUCCCAUGGAACCUGCAAACAGGUUGUUAUUUCUGUAGUCAUCCAAAGGAUUAGAUUGCUUGGUAACACAUCUUCACUGUCUCUCUCUCUCUGCCUUUCAUUCUGUGUGCUUUAGCCCUUUUCCUUCUCUCAUAUAUUGCUACAUGUUGCCUAUAUUUUAUUUUUAAUUAUUUUUGUAAAAUAUCCACUAUUGCUUUUUCACUCAGCCAAGCACAUUCUGCAGUGAGAUCACAACUGCUUAUAACACUUGAAAGAUAUAUUCAGCAUGGCAUCUUUGGAAAAAAAGAAAACCAAAAUGUACUAAUGGGUUGUUGUUUGGUUUUUUGUUUGUUUUUUUUUUUUUUUGCUGUUUUGGAAAUUCAGCCAGAAAUAAAAUAUCAACAUACAUAUGCUAUCAUUAAGCAUAUGUAAAAAGCAAGGAUCAUGCUAUCUCUUCAUGAUAGUGAUACCUUGUUCAUUGAUAAGUAGAAAAUUAUAUUUACUGUGCAGUGUUUCAAUUCCAUCAGCAUCUUACCCACUCCUGAAUGCAUAAUUUGAUUUACAAGUAUUGUUCUACUUUUGUACCCUGUGCUCUUCCUUUGCUUUUUGUUGCUUUCAGCCAUUUUUCUCAGCUCCUGUAAUAACCUUGAUCGCUUCCAGUCACUUCGUUAGGCUCCUCUGGAAGCCAUCCUCAUAGUGAGCUCUUGACAGCACUCAUCAAUUUUAGAUGUUUCAAUUAAUUGAGCCAGCACCAAUCUCCUGGCUGCCUCCGUUAGCUCCUUCUGCCAAUACUUCAAAACCUCCAGCAAAGCAAUACUCUAGAAUGGCAAUAGCUCAGUGGCCUCAACACAGUGAGGCUAGCUUGGUAGCUUAAGCAGAAAUUUUAGUCAGAAAUAUCCUGUCAUGUACCCCUGCUCCAAAUUCAAUUUUCAGCUCUCUUUCUAGGGGUGUAUAAUAACAUGGAAAUCCCCAAAGAUUGGUGAAUAAGAGUUUUUUGGGGGUUUUUUUUGCCCCUUAUUGUUAGUAGAGGUAUGUUGUUUCCUAGACUGAUGAGCUCAUAAGGUAAUGAAUUCAGAGGUCUUAAAAACAAUGGGAAGUCCUUUCUAGUUGAAUUCUAUUCAUGCAUUCGGUAUCAAUGUAUGUGUGUGCACACGUGCAUCUCUGGCGUGACCUGAAAAUUCCAGAGAAAUAAAAAGGAAAAAACACAAUUUGCUGUAAGCUUCUCCACUGGAGUAUGUAUUUGCUAGUAAGUGCUUUAAAAUUGUUACUUGAAUACUUCCACAUUAAUUUAGUAUUUUUACACUUUUAACCACAUCAAAUAAUUUAUGUUGAGGCCCAAUGCAAACACAAAUUAAAUCCACUCUUCUGCAGCUUUUCAGUAAGACGCCACCAAGGUUUAAUUCAAGGCAGUUACCUCUAAUUAGAAAAAAACUAAACUUUAAAGUAAUUGAACAUUGAACACAGUUAUUGGGAGGCUGAUUGCAUAGUGCACAAGCCUGCUUCUGCAGCAGAGAAAGAUAUUAAGAUAUUGAAGUGAAUACAGAUAAAUACUUUUUUACAGAAACGAAAAGCAUUCUUAUCUAAACUAUUCUGUUACAGUCUUUGGUGCUAUCACAGAAUUGGCUCACCUUGAAUCCACACACACGUUUAUAGUUACAUAAAGUAUCAUAACCAAAUGUUUCUUUCUACCUACCUAGCCUGUAAAACUGAAUUUAGUGGAUAUAUUCAUCCUCAGAUUCAAAGAUAAGAGAUGCAAGAUCUGAUCUCAUCUUUGUAUAUUGUCAAAGCAUUUUUAUGGAUGUCAUUCUCAUUAUGCUGAGAAUCAAGUAAUUUGUAUAUUUGGGCCUAAUUCUAAACAAUUUAUCCCAAUAUUUCACUUUCGGUAGAGCCAGUGGGAGUGGUGUAAGUUCGCCUAAAAGAAGAAUUAGAGUUUUAAUGAAUAAACUUGAUCAGAAAUAUUUCUAUAUCUUUUAUUUCCUUUUUUUUUUUCUUUCUUUCUUCUUGCUAGCAACGAGGAUUGUUGUGUAAGAUAGUAUGGUGCAACUGAGUGCAUUUUCCAUUUGAAUAAGGAACAGCAUUUUUGCUGUAUGUGAUGGUUGUCUUACUGAAAAAUGUGCUGUUUCCCUAGAGGAACCUGGAUCUCACAAACAAUGCAGUUGAGUGCCUUUUAUGUAGUUUAUAACUUAUUGUCAGUGAAGGAAUGAUCCAAUUAGUAAGUGAUUAAUCACAGGUUCCUUCAGGUCUCAAACUGUGUAUUAAAAGUUUAUGGAAUAAAAGAGUAUUUCAUGCACAUGUCUGCACCUAAUGAGUAAUAGCCACCUGGGAAUGAGAACUACAUUUAAAAAAAAAGAACAGGGGCAACAGCACAAAGUACUAAUCAUUUGACUAAUUUCCAUUGUCACUGAGAAACAUACCUUUGCCAGACAAUCAUAAUUAUAAAUACAUUAAAAUUAAUUAAUAUUUUAUUGUCCAAAACCAGCAAAGAAAAUAUUCAAUAUUUCCAUCCUAACCAGUUUUUUGACAUUUAAGCAGCAUACAGAAGUAAAGUUUGCUCUACAGAAUUUCAUUCUGAUAUGGGACAUAAGAAAAUAUGCAUAAUUUCAAACAAUGAUUUAAAAUGUUAAUUUUUAGAGAAACCUAAUUAGCAUGCAAAGUGAAAUACUUUAUUUUGUAAAAAACCCAUUGUGAAUAUUAAACACAAAAUCCUUUGAAUAUAUUUUUAUUUUGUGGAUGUACAAAUGCUUGUAGCAUGUACAUUCCACCAUGAUUUAUCAAAUUAUUUUAUAUAAGCCUGUUAUUAUAUAUGUUCCAUUUUUCAAUUUUUCACUCACUAAAUUUCACAUAAGGAGUAAUGUUAUGAUGCUAUAUUUUGACAGUAAGGUGGAAUACAACAAAAGAAUGUUGAUGAAAUAGAUGAUGAAAUAUGAUAGAAAAACAGACUUUUCAGUGCUGAACCUUAACACCCAAAUCUUAUUAGUUUUGUGAUAAAAUAUCAAUGAAUAUCUAAUACAGAUAAAAUGGAAGUGUGAAAAAUUGCUAAAUUAAAGUUUCAAAUAUCAGCUUUCAGGUGAACAAGCAGAAUAAAUCUUCAUCAUCUUUAUGUGGUUUGCACCUUAAAUUAGUAGAACAGUACCCUUGAGUACCAUAGUGAGACUAAUAAGGAACUCAUUAAAUAAAGUGUGGAAUCUUCACAUGUGCUUCUUAAAAUCAUAUUUCAUACGUUGCUUGUUUGAACAAUGAACCCUUGAUCUUGGUAUAAUGUUUGUAGUUUAGCUGAAAGACUGACCUAGCACCCUGGAUUCCCUUCAUAGGUAAUAGAGCUAAGUGGGAUUGCAUCAACAUGAUUUUUUUCACCCCAAAGUAGACAGUUAAAAUAUGUGGACUAAAAGCAGACAUUUCUCAUGUUCAGUACAGCAUUGCAGAUUCAUCAGAUAAAUGCUUGUUCUGGCGCGAUUUACCUUCAGUAAACCAAUGAAAAUAAAGUAUUCCUUAAUUUGGA